rnacentral:rRNA from 1 species
AAGGUUAAGCCUCACGGUUCAUUAGUACCGGUUAGCUCAACGCAUCGCUGCGCUUACACACCCGGCCUAUCAACGUCGUCGUCUUCAACGUUCCUUCAGGACUCUCAAGGAGUCAGGGAGAACUCAUCUCGGGGCAAGUUUCGUGCUUAGAUGCUUUCAGCACUUAUCUCUUCCGCAUUUAGCUACCGGGCAGUGCCAUUGGCAUGACAACCCGAACACCAGUGAUGCGUCCACUCCGGUCCUCUCGUACUAGGAGCAGCCCCCCUCAGUUCUCCAGCGCCCACGGCAGAUAGGGACCGAACUGUCUCACGACGUUCUAAACCCAGCUCGCGUACCACUUUAAAUGGCGAACAGCCAUACCCUUGGGACCUACUUCAGCCCCAGGAUGUGAUGAGCCGACAUCGAGGUGCCAAACACCGCCGUCGAUAUGAACUCUUGGGCGGUAUCAGCCUGUUAUCCCCGGAGUACCUUUUAUCCGUUGAGCGAUGGCCCUUCCAUUCAGAACCACCGGAUCACUAUGACCUGCUUUCGCACCUGCUCGCACCGUCACGCUCGCAGUCAAGCUGGCUUAUGCCAUUGCACUAACCUCCUGAUGUCCGACCAGGAUUAGCCAACCUUCGUGCUCCUCCGUUACUCUUUAGGAGGAGACCGCCCCAGUCAAACUACCCACCAGACACUGUCCGCAACCCGGAUUACGGGUCAACGUUAGAACAUCAAACAUUAAAGGGUGGUAUUUCAAGGUCGGCUCCAUGCAGACUGGCGUCCACACUUCAAAGCCUCCCACCUAUCCUACACAUCAAGGCUCAAUGUUCAGUGUCAAGCUAUAGUAAAGGUUCACGGGGUCUUUCCGUCUUGCCGCGGGUACACUGCAUCUUCACAGCGAGUUCAAUUUCACUGAGUCUCGGGUGGAGACAGCCUGGCCAUCAUUACGCCAUUCGUGCAGGUCGGAACUUACCCGACAAGGAAUUUCGCUACCUUAGGACCGUUAUAGUUACGGCCGCCGUUUACCGGGGCUUCGAUCAAGAGCUUCGCUUGCGCUGACCCCAUCAAUUAACCUUCCGGCACCGGGCAGGCGUCACACCGUAUACGUCCACUUUCGUGUUUGCACAGUGCUGUGUUUUUAAUAAACAGUUGCAGCCAGCUGGUAUCUUCGACUGAUUUCAGCUCCAUCCGCGAGGGACUUCACCUACAUAUCAGCGUGCCUUCUCCCGAAGUUACGGCACCAUUUUGCCUAGUUCCUUCACCCGAGUUCUCUCAAGCGCCUUGGUAUUCUCUACCUGACCACCUGUGUCGGUUUGGGGUACGAUUUGAUGUUACCUGAUGCUUAGAGGCUUUUCCUGGAAGCAGGGCAUUUGUUGCUUCAGCACCGUAGUGCCUCGUCAUCACGCCUCAGCCUUGAUUUUCCGGAUUUGCCUGGAAAACCAGCCUACACGCUUAAACCGGGACAACCGUCGCCCGGCCAACAUAGCCUUCUCCGUCCCCCCUUCGCAGUAACACCAAGUACAGGAAUAUUAACCUGUUUCCCAUCGACUACGCCUUUCGGCCUCGCCUUAGGGGUCGACUCACCCUGCCCCGAUUAACGUUGGACAGGAACCCUUGGUCUUCCGGCGAGCGGGCUUUUCACCCGCUUUAUCGUUACUUAUGUCAGCAUUCGCACUUCUGAUACCUCCAGCAUGCCUCACAGCACACCUUCGCAGGCUUACAGAACGCUCCCCUACCCAACAACACACAGUGUCGCUGCCGCAGCUUCGGUGCAUGGUUUAGCCCCGUUACAUCUUCCGCGCAGGCCGACUCGACCAGUGAGCUAUUACGCUUUCUUUAAAUGAUGGCUGCUUCUAAGCCAACAUCCUGGCUGUCUGGGCCUUCCCACAUCGUUUCCCACUUAACCAUGACUUUGGGACCUUAGCUGGCGGUCUGGGUUGUUUCCCUCUUCACGACGGACGUUAGCACCCGCCGUGUGUCUCCCGUGAUAACAUUCUCCGGUAUUCGCAGUUUGCAUCGGGUUGGUAAGUCGGGAUGACCCCCUUGCCGAAACAGUGCUCUACCCCCGGAGAUGAAUUCACGAGGCGCUACCUAAAUAGCUUUCGGGGAGAACCAGCUAUCUCCCGGUUUGAUUGGCCUUUCACCCCCAGCCACAAGUCAUCCGCUAAUUUUUCAACAUUAGUCGGUUCGGUCCUCCAGUUAGUGUUACCCAACCUUCAACCUGCCCAUGGCUAGAUCACCGGGUUUCGGGUCUAUACCCUGCAACUUAACGCCCAGUUAAGACUCGGUUUCCCUUCGGCUCCCCUAUUCGGUUAACCUUGCUACAGAAUAUAAGUCGCUGACCCAUUAUACAAAAGGUACGCAGUCACACAGAUUGCUCUGUGCUCCCACUGCUUGUACGUACACGGUUUCAGGUUCUUUUUCACUCCCCUCGCCGGGGUUCUUUUCGCCUUUCCCUCACGGUACUGGUUCACUAUCGGUCAGUCAGGAGUAUUUAGCCUUGGAGGAUGGUCCCCCCAUAUUCAGACAGGAUACCACGUGUCCCGCCCUACUCAUCGAGCUCACAGCAUGUGCAUUUUUGUGUACGGGGCUGUCACCCUGUAUCGCGCGCCUUUCCAGACGCUUCCACUAACACACACACUGAUUCAGGCUCUGGGCUGCUCCCCGUUCGCUCGCCGCUACUGGGGGAAUCUCGGUUGAUUUCUUUUCCUCGGGGUACUUAGAUGUUUCAGUUCCCCCGGUUCGCCUCAUUAACCUAUGGAUUCAGUUAAUGAUAGUGUGACGAAUCACACUGGGUUUCCCCAUUCGGAAAUCGCCGGUUAUAACGGUUCAUAUCACCUUACCGACGCUUAUCGCAGAUUAGCACGUCCUUCAUCGCCUCUGACUGCCAGGGCAUCCACCGUGUACGCUUAGUCGCUUAA